UUGAUAUUCCUGUACCACCUCGUUUUUGUUUGAGCGAUGGGGGGACGCAGGAGGAUAGGGUAAGCGCACUGCUGGAUAUGUGCGUCUAAGCAGUUAGGCUGGUAAACAGGCAAAUCCGUUUACCAUGAAGGCUGAGCUGUGAUAGCGAGGGAAAUCAAGUACCGAAGUUCCUGAUUCCACACUGCCAAGAAAAGCCUCUAGUGAGAAAACAGGUGCCCGUACCGCAAACCGACACAGGUAGGCGAGGAGAGAAUCCUAAGGUGAGCGAGAGAACUCUCGUUAAGGAACUCGGCAAAAUGACCCCGUAACUUCGGGAGAAGGGGUGCUUUUUAGGGUGCAUAGCCCUGAAGAGCCGCAGUGAAUAGGCCCAGGCGACUGUUUAGCAAAAACACAGGUCUCUGCGAAGCCGCAAGGCGAAGUAUAGGGGCUGACGCCUGCCCGGUGCUGGAAGGUUAAGAGGAGGGGUUAGCUUACGCGAAGCUCUGAAUUGAAGCCCCAGUAAACGGCGGCCGUAACUAUAACGGUCCUAAGGUAGCGAAA
rnacentral:rRNA from 1 species